GGGGUAAUAGUUAAAAAUAAUAAUGUUAGCAUGUCAUGUUAAAGUCACUACCGGAGAGUAGUUUAUCCUU
rnacentral:tRNA from 1 species